UACAGAGGUCCCAAGCGUUGUUCGGAUUCACUGGGCGUAAAGGGUGCGUAGGCGGUCGGGUAAGUCUGAUGUGAAAUCUCAGAGCUCAACUCUGAAACUGCAUUGGAUACUAUUCGGCUUGAGGUCUGGAGGGGGGACUGGAAUUCUCGGUGUAGCAGUGAAAUGCGCAGAUAUCAGGAGGAACACCGGUGGCGAAGGCGGGUCUUCUGG
rnacentral:rRNA from 1 species